UCGUGUCGUGAGAUGUUGGGUAAGUCCCGCAACGAGCGCAACCCUGCAUUCAGUUGCCAUCGGUAAGGCCGGGCACUCUGGAUGGACUGCCGGCGACAAGCCGGAGGAAGGUGGGGACGACGUCAAGUCAUCAUGGCCCUUAUGUCCAGGGCGACACACGUGCUACAAUGGCCGGCACAACGGGAAGCGAAGGGGCGACCCUGAGCGGAUCCCACAAAAGCCGGUCUCAGUUCGGAUUGCAGUCUGCAACUCGACUGCAUGAAGUUGGAAUCGCUAGUAAUCGUGGAUCAGCCAAGCCGCGGUGAAUACGUUCCCGGGCCUU
rnacentral:rRNA from 1 species